rnacentral:rRNA from 1 species
GAGAGAGGGGGCGAGCGUUGUCCGGAGUCACUGGGCGUAAAGCGCACGCAGGCGGAUCGAUAAGUCGGGGGUGAAAGCCCGGGGCUCAACCUCGGAAUUGCCUUCGAUACUGUCGGUCUCGAGUCCGGGAGAGGUGAGUGGAAUUCCUAGUGUAGAGGUGAAAUUCGUAGAUAUUAGGAAGAACACCAGUGGCGAAGGCGGCUCACUGGCCCGGUACUGACGCUCGGGUGCGAAAGCGUGGGGAGCAAACAGG